rnacentral:tRNA from 1 species
GGCCUUGUAGCUCAGUUGGCUAGUGUUAGCUGUAGUAAAGCAUUCCCCUUGCUGGCGUGGGUUCGAGUCCCACCGAGGCCA